rnacentral:rRNA from 1 species
UACGAAGGGGGCGAGCGUUGUUCGGAAUUACUGGGCGUAAAGCGUGCGCAGGCGGUUCGUUGUGUCGGCGGUGAAAGCCCCGGGCUCAACCUGGGAAUGGCCGUUGAAACUGGCGAACUGGAGUGUGGCAGAGGGGGGUGGAAUUCCGCGUGUAGCAGUGAAAUGCGUAGAGAUGCGGAGGAACACCGAUGGCGAAGGCAGCCCCCUGGGCUGACACUGACGCUCAGGCACGAAAGCGUGGGGAGCAAACAGG